GGCAUGCUUUACACAUGCAAGUCGAACGGCAGCACGGGCUUCGGCCUGGUGGCGAGUGGCGAACGGGUGAGUAAUACAUCGGAACGUACCCAGAAGUGGGGGAUAACGUAGCGAAAGUUACGCUAAUACCGCAUACGUUCUACGGAAGAAAGUGGGGGAUCGCAAGACCUCAUGCUUUUGGAGCGGCCGAUGUCUGAUUAGCUAGUUGGUGGGGUAAAGGCUCACCAAGGCGACGAUCAGUAGCUGGUCUGAGAGGACGACCAGCCACACUGGAACUGAGACACGGUCCAGACUCCUACGGGAGGCAGCAGUGGGGAAUUUUGGACAAUGGGCGCGAGCCUGAUCCAGCAAUGCCGCGUGAGUGAAGAAGGCCUUCGGGUUGUAAAGCUCUUUUGUCAGGGAAGAAACGGCUGAGGCUAAUAUCCUCGGCUAAUGACGGUACCUGAAGAAUAAGCACCGGCUAACUACGUGCCAGCAGCCGCGGUAAUACGUAGGGUGCAAGCGUUAAUCGGAAUUACUGGGCGUAAAGCGUGCGCAGGCGGUUUUGUAAGUCUGAUGUGAAAUCCCCGGGCUCAACCUGGGAAUUGCAUUGGAGACUGCAAGGCUGGAGUCUGGCAGA
rnacentral:rRNA from 2 species